UAGUGUCCCAGCAAACAUACCUAUAUCGGGCCGAUAUCGGCUAUAUGAUGGAAUAUCUGUGUCGGCUACCAUAUAUCGGACCGAUGUCUAUCCGAUAUUGACAUAUUUCACUGAUAUAGGUCCGACAUCGGUCCGAUUUAUAUUCGUUUGACAUGAUUUAAGUUUUAUCAUGGUAACGUUUUUUUAGCAUACAGGACCAUGAAACCGGGAAAAAAUUUCCGAAUUUUAACGCGUUUAACCAUUGAACGGAUAUUUAUCGUAAUUUGCACAAUGGUAAAUAGUUACCUACGCACCGUACAUCCGGGCACGCUUACAUUUGGCGCAAAACUCAACAAGGGACAAAAGUUCGAAUAUUUACAAUCACUGGGUAAUUUAGCAUUUUCUAAUACCUUUUUGAUAAAAUAUCAUUAACAUAGUUGAUAUACUGGUUGAGUGCUAUUGAAAUUUUGAAAAAUAAAUAAAAAAUAUAUGGACAAGAUGGCUUUGAUUUAAUAGUCAUGCAAUUUCGCGAUCACGUUAAAUUGGGUUGCUUAUAAUUUCUUUUAAACCUAUAGGACCUUAGCAACUUGUUGGCAUAGAUAAGAAAUAAUUUGUUCUUAAGUUUAAGCAAGACUUUGCCAUUAAAUUUUGUUGAAACAAAAUAAUUAAAAGUUACAUUUUGACAGAUGAUUUAAUUAAAAAGAAUAUUCCUUUUUUUUUUUUUUACUUCAGUAAUUAUAUUGAAAGUUAUGUUUCUCAUUAAAUAAUAUUUUUGUAUUUUAGCACGAGAUAUCCGCAUUUUUACCCUAUUAGAAAAAAUGUCUCGACAAUAGACACAAAUAUUGGACACUGUUCAUCAGGUAUUUGGUGUCGUGUCAAAGUUGGAAAGUCAAGAUGGUGGUGGACCAACUGAAUUGCCUGAUGAUAUUCAUUUACCAGUUACAAGCAUUGAAAAACUGGAGUUGGUUGAGACAGGUUUACAAGAACCUGGUUGUUUCAAUGGCUUGGUCACAUACCUGACACUGCAAGGAGGUAUCACAAGAAGCGAUAUGUCAAAAAGAGUCAUGAAACACUGCAUGUCAAAUCAGUUGGCACUUCAGUUCAACUGGUUUGGCAAGUAAGGGAAGAGAGUGUUUGGGAAACUGAAGCUGGCCAAGGCAGUGCAAAAAGCAGUCAUGAAAUGUAAAAAAUGUACAGCAGCUGAAGUCGAAUUAGAUUGUAGAGAAUGGUUUCGAAGUGCAUGUGACAGAGACGGGGGCCGUAAAAGAAGACAAAAAAACAAUGAAGGUGUCCAAGAAACACCCACUGAAUAGAACUUUUAAAUAUAUUUAUAGCGAUAUUGAAAGAAAAAAGAUGGCUCUUUUAAUUUGGAAGUAAUGUAAAGGACUUGUAUCAUUCUAGCCUAAUAGUUCAAGAACAUAUAGCCUAAGAAGAAUAAAUCAUACAUAAAUAGUGAUAUAGUUAAACUAAACAUUAUUGAGAUAUAUUUAAGAAACAAUAUCAGUUUCUGUGUUGUUCAUCGGCUAUUUAAAAUCAGUUUAAGCUUGUGUGUCAGGCAGGAUUAUAUAUAUUGUGUUUACAUCGUUGCUGGAUUAAUGAUUCUUCAGCCCAUGACCAGUUUAAAGUGACGCCAUUCUGGCACUUGUGUG